rnacentral:rRNA from 1 species
AUUGAACGCUGGCGGCAUGCCUUACACAUGCAAGUCGAACGGCAGCACGGGUGCUUGCACCUGGUGGCGAGUGGCGAACGGGUGAGUAAUGCAUCGGAACAUGUCCUGUAGUGGGGGAUAGCCCGGCGAAAGCUGGAUUAAUACCGCAUACGAUCUACGGAUGAAAGCGGGGGACCUUCGGGCCUCGCGCUAUAGGGUUGGCCGAUGGCUGAUUAGCUAGUUGGUGGGGUAAAGGCCUACCAAGGCGACGAUCAGUAGCUGGUCUGAGAGGACGACCAGCCACACUGGGACUGAGACACGGCCCAGACUCCUACGGGAGGCAGCAGUGGGGAAUUUUGGACAAUGGGCGAAAGCCUGAUCCAGCAAUGCCGCGUGUGUGAAGAAGGCCUUCGGGUUGUAAAGCACUUUUGUCCGGAAAGAAAUCCUUGGCUCUAAUACAGUCGGGGGAUGACGGUACCGGAAGAAUAAGCACCGGCUAACUACGUG